UCAUUUGUACUUUUGGCACACACUGUCAAGGUGGACAGAAAUUAGAAAUCUCAGUUUCCGACGACAGCACUAGAACUCCAGGUACCAACCCACCUCCACGGUCUGUUGAUGGACCUACAGGUUCCGUUCCCGGUGGUAUUGUUCCUCCUCCUCCUUCGUCUUCAACGACCCUAUUGGCCAGUUUUCUGCUCAGUCUAUCCGCAAUUGCAUUGG
rnacentral:misc_RNA from 1 species